rnacentral:piRNA from 1 species
GAAAAGAAGCCAUGGGGUGGAUUAAA